GAUGAACGCUGGCGGCGUGCCUAAUACAUGCAAGUCGAGCGAACAGACGAUGCGCUUGCCCCUCUUACGUAAGCGGCGAACGGGAGAGUAACACUUGGACAACCUCCCUAUAAUACUGGGAUAACUUCGGGACACCGGCGCUAAUACCGGAUAAUAUAUUUAACCGCAUGGUUCAAUCGUUAAAGACGGUUUUGCUGUCACCUAUAGAUGGAUCCGCGCGGCAUUAGCUAGUUGGUAAGGUAACGGCUUACCAAGGCAACGAUGCGUAGGCGACGUGAGAGGGGGGUAGCCCGCACUGGAACUGGGACACGGACAAGACGCCUACGGGAGGCAGCAGUAGGGAAUCUGCGGCAGUAGGGGAAAGCAUGACGGAACAACGCCGAGUCAGUGGUAGAGGUCUUCGGAGCGUAAUACUCUGUUAUUGGGGAAGAACAAAUGUGUAAGUAAAUAAGCACGUAUUGACGGUACCUAAUCAGAAAGCCACGGCUAACUACGUG
rnacentral:rRNA from 1 species